ACGGGAACCAGUGACUCAUUGG
rnacentral:miRNA from 1 species